rnacentral:sRNA from 1 species
CAAACUGUUACCUUGGUCAUCUGACGUAACAAAAGCCGGGGCUUACGGUAACGUAGUUCCG